rnacentral:rRNA from 1 species
CAAUAGCGUAUAUUAAAGUUGUUGCAGUUAAAAAGCUCGUAGUUGGACCUUGGACCUGGACAGGCGGUCCGCCUCACGGCGUGUACUGUCUUGCUGGGUCUUUCCUCUUGGUGAUCUGUUGUUUCGGCAGCAGGGAACCAGGACUUUUACUUGAAAAAAUUAGAGUGUUCAAAGCAGGCUCGACGCCGGAAUAUAUUAGCAUGGAAUAAUAAAAUAGGACGUGCGGUUCUAUUUUGUUGGUUUUUGGAAUCGCCGUAAUGAUUAAUAGGGACAGUCGGGGGCAUUAGUACUCACAUGCUAGAGGUGAAAUUCUUGGAUUUUGUGAAGACUAACUUCUGCGAAAGCAUUUGCCAAGGAUGUUUUCAUUAA